rnacentral:rRNA from 1 species
AGGACGAACGCUGGCGGCGUGCCUAAAACAUGCAAGUCGAACGGGGGAGUAAUCCCCAGUGGCGAACGGCGGAGUAAUACAUGAGAAACGUACCCUGAAGACUGGGAUAGUCGUUGGAAACGACGGGUAAUACCAGAUGUGACGGACCUUCGGCAUCGAAGGUUCAUUAAAAGGUUUUUCGCUUCAGGAGCGUCUCAUGGCCUAUCAGGUAGUUGGUGAGGUAAUGGCUCACCAAGCCGACGACGGGUAGCGGGUCUCAGAGGAUGAUCCGCUCGAGUGGGACUGAGACACGGCCCACACACCUACGGGUGGCAGCAGUUGGGAAUCUUGCACAAUGGGGGAAACCCUGAUGCAGCGACGCCGCGUGGAGGAUGAAGGGUCUAGGCCUGUAAACUCCUUUUAUCGGGAAAGACUUAGGACGGUACCCGAUGAAUAAGGACCGGCUAACUACGUGCCAGCAGCCGC